rnacentral:rRNA from 1 species
CAGGGAAUCUUGCACAAUGGGCGAAAGCCUGAUGCAGCGACGCCGCGUGGGGGAUGAAGGCCCUAGGGUCGUAAACCCCUUUCAGCAGGGACGAAGAUGACGGUACCUGCAGAAGAAGCCCCGGCCAACUACGUGCCAGCAGCCGCGGUAAGACGUAGGGGGCGAGCGUUGUCCGGAUUUAUUGGGCGUAAAGAGCUCGUAGGCGGUUGCGUAAGUCGGAUGUGAAAACUCAGGGCUCAACCCUGAGACGCCAUCCGAUACUGCGCUGACUUGAAUCCAGUAGGGGAGUGCGGAAUUCCUGGUGUAGCGGUGAAAUGCGUAGAUAUCUGGAGGAACACCGGUGGCGAAGGCGGCGUUCUGGACUGCAACUGACACUGAAGAACGAAAGCCAGGGUAGCAAACGGGAUUAGAUACCCAAGUAGUCCCUGAGCGGGCUGGCAAGGCGCAU